GUAGAUAUGUAUAGGGGACAGGGAUACUGGAGUGAUAGAGGUAGAUAUGUAUAGGGGGAAGGGGACAGGGAUACUGGAGUGAUGGAGGUAGAUAUGUAUAGGGGGAAGGGGACAGGGAUACUGGAGUGAUGGAGGUAGAUAUGUAUAGGGGUAAGGUGACAAAAUACAGGGUCAGUACCAUAUUAACAAUGUACAGGGAUACUGGAGGGAUGGAGGUAGAUAUGUAUAGGGGUAAGGGGACAGGGAUACUGGAGUGAUGGAGGUAGAUAUGUAUAGGGGGAAGGGGACAGGGAUACUGGAGUGAUGGAGGUAGAUAUGUAUAGGGGUAAGGUGACUAUAUACAGGGUCAGUACCAUAUUAACAAUGUACAAGGAUACUGGAGUGAUGGAGGUAGAUAUGUAUAGGGGGAAGGGGACAGGGAUACUGGAGUGAUGGAGGUAGAUAUGUAUAGGGGGAAGGGGACAGGGAUACUGGAGUGAUGGAGGUAGAUAUGUAUAGGGGGAAGGUGACUAUAUACAGGGUCAGUACCAUAUUAACAAUGUACAGGGAUACUGGAGUGAUGGAGGUAGAUAUGUAUAGGGGUAAGGUGACUA
rnacentral:lncRNA from 1 species